AUUCAACUGACGAGUCCCAAAUAGGAAGAAACGAGCGUCAAACUGUAU
rnacentral:hammerhead_ribozyme from 1 species